UACGGGGGGGGCAAGCGUUGUUCGGAAUUACUGGGCGUAAAGGGCUCGUAGGCGGCCAACUAAGUCCGACGUGAAAUCCCCAGCUUAACCUGGGAACUGCGUCGGAUACUGGAUGGCUUGAAUUCGGGAGAGGGAUGCAGAAUUCCAGGUGUAGCGGUGAAAUGCGUAGAUAUCUGGAGGAAUACCGGUGGCGAAGGCGGGUCUCUGGGCCGAUACUGACGCUGAGGAGCGAAAGCAUGGGGAGCGAACAGG
rnacentral:rRNA from 1 species